rnacentral:rRNA from 1 species
UACGAAGGGGGCUAGCGUUGCUCGGAAUCACUGGGCGUAAAGCGCACGUAGGCGGAUCGUUAAGUCGGGGGUGAAAUCCUGGAGCUCAACUCCAGAACUGCCCUCGAUACUGGCGAUCUUCGAGUCCGGGAGAGGUGAGUGGAACUCCGAGUGUAGAGGUGAAAUUCGUAGAUAUUCGGAAGAACACCAGUGGCGAAGGCGGCUCACUGGCCCGGUACUGACGCUGAGGUGCGAAAGCGUGGGGAGCAAACAGGG